rfam:Myotis brandtii contig166388, whole genome shotgun sequence.
GCCGGUUUGGCUCAGUAGAUAGAGUGUCAGUCUGUGGACUGAAGGGUCCCAGGUUCGAUUCCUGUCAAGGGCA